rnacentral:lncRNA from 1 species
UUCGCCUAUUGAAGGAAGGCCUCUAGUUGACGUCGGUGACCUCGUCGGUGGAGGAAGCCAAAAGUGGAGUAGGUCAAGAUUGACCGAACCACUCUAAAUCUCGGUUUGCAUUUACUUUGAGCAUUUUAUCUUUACUGCAAACCUCCUAAAUAGCUACUACCUUCUGCGCUUUUACGAACGAGUUUCUAAGUUCAGAGCUUUCCGAAUCUGCAUUUAGACGUAAAUCGGCUUUUUC